UAGGGAAGGAGGAGUGGAAGAUAGUGAACCAUGAGCUCACAUUCAAUUAAUUUUGAAAAGGAGUCACUGUUACUUUUUAAAUAUAUUAUUCACUUGAAAGAUAACGCUUGUAAAACAAACCAAAUAAUUAGAUUUAAUUGGGUCUUCUGACGUAAGAAACGAAGCAAAAACUAUAAAAACGAGGUAAAAUCCUAGUGAAGUAUCACUUGAUUUGCUAACUACAAGUUGUGUGAUCCAUGCUCUGAGGAUCUCUGAAAAAGCUGAUUGCUGUUUGAGCGUGUUCAGAAGUCUGCCUUUGAAGACAGCUCUUGUUUUUAUGUUGUAUUCUACAACUACACUUCCAUAUAGUGGAAGGUAAGAACAAUUUUGAAUUUAUAUCUCAUUUAUAUUGAUUCAUUGCUAUAAGGUAUAGGAAUUAUAUUUUAGCUUUGGAGAGUGAUAUAUUGUAUGUUUUAGGAUUUAGCGGUGGGCGUUUUAGCUUUUUGCAUGACUAGCCUAAGGGCUAAGCAUAUGAUAACCAUACCUGUAUUACUGUAUUGAAGUAUUAAUGCUGUUAAACCUGUAAAGGCACUGGAAACACUCAGACUGCCAAUUACUUGGGAUUUGUUGUGGCCUGCAAUCACCCAAUCCACUUUUAAGCAUUUAAUAAACUGAAGGAGCACUAUUACUGCUCUGAUUCAUUAAAACUUAAAAUUAAAUGAGUCUGUGUGAUUUUCUUGAUUAUUAAAAAGUUGUUUGGACAUAUUGUAAGCCUAGUGCACGAACAAUCCACUUACAGGAGUUUAAAACAUCUCUGUCCUCCUUAAACAGCUCCCCUGAGUUUAAGAGUGUGCUUAGAAAAAUAAAAGAAGUACGUGCAAAUCUGACAUUGUUAAUUAAACGUUCCAUUCUUUAUCUUGGCUAGCAGCCUGCACCAGCUUCAGCAUCUUUGCCAUCCGGAGAACAGCUCCUCCCUCCAGCAGACCCAAGACCACGGGCCCAAGGACAGGGCCCCCUCAGCACUACACCCCUCCUCACGGAUCAGCGCCCCCUCCCAAUGGGCGGCCUCCCACCUCAACCAUGGAGACCGAGGUCCAACCCCAACUGAGUGAGAUCAGGGGCCCCCUCCCUGCCGCCUAACCGGCAGUGGGACAUACAGGCUCCAUGGGCGCCCUUUUCCCCGACAUGCUUCCGGUGCCAUGAGGUCGGCCACCUCGCUAGAAAUUGUCCUGCAGCAAUGGAGUGUGGCGCGGCCUCACACUUCCUGUCAUCGUCACCAGAAAGGACCACUGGGGUGUGCUUCUCAAAUCCUGCCCAAACAAAAUCAGUUUCAUCUGCUCACCUCACUUCAGAAACUAUGCUUCUAGAAGCAGCAAUAGAAAAUUAUAGAUAUCACAAAUAAAAGGAUUUUAAACAGGCGAGAACUGGGAGCUGAAGCCACGGAACCAACAAACACAUCCCGGAGCACCACUACCUCUGCACAUCAUCACACCCCGUCCCUGCAGUGGAGCACCUAAACUGCGUCACCACUUUGAACCGUGCCUGUGCUGUUGGGACUGUGGAUUAUUGUUUAGUAGUUAUUGUUUUGUUUACCCUUUUUAUUUUGGUACUGUAAUUCCAGUGUCCCCAAUACCAUUGCUGGUAGCGGGGACAAACCUUAAUGUUUUAUUAAUAAUUAAUAAUAAACAGGACCCAUUGUAAAUAACCCACUGUUUGGACAAUAUAUCAUUCCUGCACCACUUGCAUCCUGACAAUCAUAUUUUAUCAGAAAUUGUUACUAUGUUUCACAGAGGUG